UGGGGAAUUUUGCACGAUGGGGGAAACCCUGAUGCAGCGACGCCGCGUGAUUUAGAAGGCCUUCGGGUUGUAAAAAUCUUUUCUAUGGGAAGAAAAUGACAGUACCAUAGGAAUAAGGACCGGCUAAUUACGUGCCAGCAGCCGCGGUAAUACGUAAGGUCCGAGCGUUGUCCGGAAUCAUUGGGCGUAAAGGGUACGUAGGCGGGUAAGCAAGUUAGAAGUGAAAUCCUAUAGCUCAACUAUAGUAAGCUUUUAAAACUGCUCAUCUUGGGGUAUGGAAGGGAAAGUGGAAUUCCUAGUGUAGCGGUGAAAUGCGCAGAUAUUAGGAGGAAUACCGGUGGCGAAGGCGAAUUUCUGGCCAUAACCUGACGCUGAGGUACGAAAGCGUGGGUAGCAAACAGG
rnacentral:rRNA from 1 species